GUAUAAAAACAGAAACCUAUUUUCUGUAAAAAAAUUAAGAAAAACACAAAACCGAAAAUCAAAUCCUAGUCAAAAAAGACCGUUUUCUUUAGCACGACAUUUUUUUUCGAGUGUGUGCCUCGAGUGUCUGACUAUUAAAAAAACUAUAUAUACUCUAAUAUAUAUAGUAAGGAAAUCGGAAGGACAAAGGAGCGUGCAAGCGAGACGGCAAUACAUCCAACGAAGACAGAGCCAGCGAGCAAGCGAGAGAGAAAGAGCGAUUCAUUCGACGAAGACGACGAGAAAGUUGUUUUUUUUUUGUUUCCUGUGCAAUCAAUAUAUACAUCUAUUAUAUAGUCAGUCGGUGCUAUCUAGUCACCCCCUCACUCCCCUCACUCGCUUUUUUGCUGUAUGACAGUGCGAUUUUUCCCCAACAACCGGCACCUCAUUUUCCGAGCAUUUUCGUACCGAGGCACAUUGAGUGAAAUCGAGCGAGCAAUCGAACAGCCAUCAUUUAUCAGAGGAAUAAAAAAAGGUAUAGAUCACCGAAUUAAAAAAAGGGAGAUUUUUUAAAAACCUACUAAAAAACAGGAAGAGGAAUUAAACCAGAAAGGCGAUAAAUAUUAACAGAAAGCGAAGGCCGACAGAAGGAGAAGAGAAAACAAAAACCAAACACCACCAAAUAAAACCAACUACUAUUAAUUUAAAGGAAACAUUAACGAAUAAUCAUAUUCAAAAAACAAAAAACCGGUAUAUAUAUACAAGAGGAUAACACAACUAACUAUAUAUAUAUAUCUAUAUAUAUAUACAUAUACGAUAUAUGAAUGUAUAUUUGAAAACCAAAGCUAAGUUCCAAUAAAAGAAAUAAAACCGAAAAACCAGCGCAAAUUUAGUAAAGGUAUAAAAAUAGCAAGAAAA